rnacentral:rRNA from 1 species
AGUAACGCGUAAAGAACUUGCCCUUUAGACUGGGAUAACAGAGGGAAACUUCUGAUAAUACUGGAUAAGUUAGUAUAUCGCAUGAUAUGCAAAUGAAAGCUACGGCACUAAAGGAGAGCUUUGCGUCCUAUUAGCUAGUUGGUAAGGUAAGAGCUUACCAAGGCGAUGAUAGGUAGCCGGCCUGAGAGGGUGGACGGCCACAAGGGGACUGAGAUACGGCCCUUACUCCUACGGGAGGCAGCAGCA